rnacentral:lncRNA from 1 species
GGCCUUCGUCAAUGAGCAAGCCCAUACCGCAUAUUAAGUUUUAAAAAAAGUCCCCGAAAUGGAAAAUGUAAAAUCAUUCAAACGAGUAAACGAUUUAUGUAUAGAGCAUUUAUAAAAAAUGAUAUUCAGCAACAAAUAAUGUCACUAAAUUACGGGCUACUGGCUUGGUACAGGCACAUGGCAUUGCAGAGAAUGUAAAGAGGGGAGGUAAACAUUUUUGCUGUUUCUAAACCCCCUUUAAACCAGGAACAGCGGUGUAACAGUACGACAUAAGAACAAAC